rnacentral:rRNA from 1 species
GACGAACGCUGGCGGCGUGCUUAACACAUGCAAGUCGAACGGAAAGGCCCUGCUUUUGUGGGGUGCUCGAGUGGCGAACGGGUGAGUAACACGUGAGUAACCUGCCCUUGACUUUGGGAUAACUUCAGGAAACUGGGGCUAAUACCGGAUAGGAGCUCCUGCUGCAUGGGGGGGGUUGGACAGUUUCGGCGGUUGGGGAUGUACUCGCGGCUUAUCAGCUUGUUGGUGGGGUAGUGGCUUACCAGGGCUUUGACGGGUAGCCGGCCUGAGAGGGUGACCGGCCACAUUGGGACUGAGAUACGGCCCAGACUCCUACGGGAGGCAGCAGUGGGGAAUAUUGCACAAUGGGCGGAAGCCUGAUGCAGCAACGCCGCGUGCGGGAUGACGGCCUUCGGGUUGUAAACCGCUUUCGCCUGUGACGAAGCGUGAGUGACGGUAAUGGGUAAAGAAGCACCGGCUAACUACGUG